CAACCAGAAAUCUCUUUUCUUUCUGCAGUGAUUUUAUUUAUUUUAAGCAUAUGUUUUUUUCACAUCCUAACUCUGUGUCUGGAUUGACUGGACUAUGAGACUAUUAAGCAAUUUGGGGAUAAGUAUCUACACUUCCUUUUUAAUUUUUUUUUAUAGCAUGUCUGUGACUUAAGCAUUUUGAGAAUAGCUAGCUUUGUUUUAGUAGACCAGAGAAGUGGAUUCAGUUGCCAUGUUAAUUUAGGGAUCAAGAUGACUCAGGUUCAAAGUUCUCAUCCAUUGAAUAUCUGGGCUCUGUUAUGUGGUAUGAAGAACAAGAUACAGAUAUGCUGCUGAAAUGAUGUCACCUUCUUAUGUAGCAGUCCAGUGCAGUCACCCAAGAAGCAACAGCCCACACUCUGCUCCCACAUUUCCUUGGGGAGGCUGCAAUCCAUGUCUCACUGUUCCUUGGAGAUGCUGGGAUUUACUGCAUGGUCUGCUGAUGCUCUCUCUUCCCCAGCCUGCAAGAUACCUACUUCUCAUGCACCAACAGGAGCUGGAUUCCCACCAACCCCAUCCAGGAUGUGUAAGGACCACAGGUGUCCCCCUUGGUCUCCUGGAGGAGCAGUGCAAGAACAGCAGCUGACUAAUUAUUAAGAGAAUUAUCUCUAUGUCUGUAAGACUUCUGGUUCUUCUCUGUAAAAUUUUCAAGCAUGAGAAACAAGGUCAGGAGUUCUCUCUGUGCUGUGUGCCCCAGUUGUGAGGAACCAAGACUUUGGCCUUGAUCAAGACUAAGCUUUGUGGGUGUUCUAGCAUCAGGCCUCCAGUUAGGAAACUGAAAAAGAAGACAGAAAUGUGUCUUGAGAGAUAGUCAAGGGAUGUCAGUUCUUGAUCCACAUCCAUUAUAACUCAGCUGACUCCUAACUACAUUCUUCACCAAAAUGUACACCCAUAUGGAAAUUGCCAUAUCUUUGUUUGGCUAGCUUUGCAUACUCAGAAACUGUUUUUUCUAGCAGGUGUUGCUCACGGUGUUUCUCCUGUUUCAGCAAGACUAGUGUUUCUUCCAGCAGUGGGUCUCAUUAGAGUGAAUGGAAGUAUAUUUUCUCUCCUUUUGUAUUCAGUACAAAGCAGUGUGGUUCUGACAUGACUGAGUUUAAAAUGAGGCAAACCCUAGCAUCUGCAUUUAUGACAGAAGCUGCAGUUUGUUCUUGCCGCUAGAUCUAUACACAGCCUUGAGAGCUGACUGUAACCAGGCUGCAAACAAGAUGCCUGCACUGGUAUAGUUUAAAUUUAGAGGCCACUUUGUUUUUCUCUCCAGUGUCACACCUGCAGCUCAAGAGUCACACCUGCAUCUGCAGCCUCUCUGGAGGAGGAGGUUACAGUCACAAUGUCCGCUGUUCUGUUCUGCUUUAAACUGUCCAAUCUCCACCUUUGGUGACAAAUUUACACAGUAGCUCUAAGCUAUGUAGGAGGUAUUUCUGUCUGCUGUGCACAUCUGUUUAUGUUCUGUCCUAGCCAGGGUGAAGAGGCAACAAGGAAUCUGGCUCUCCUGCUUGUCCCCACAGGCCCUGUGCCAGCAGAGGAAAAAUUCUCCCCCUCCUUUCAUUCAUUUGCUGUUAGAGCAGUCCCAGCCUAGGAAGUUAACA
ensembl:lncRNA